rnacentral:antisense_RNA from 1 species
GGAUCUCCGCGUUGGAGGAAGAGGGAGUCGAAAGAGGCUUCCACUCUUUGAAAAAGACCCAAUGGUGGUUGGGCUUCGGGUCACGUGACACCUUCUUUGUAGCUCCGGAAGAGGAUUGUGAAGUUUAGGUUUCGUGGAAGAAACCGAUAAUUGAGGAAAAAAAUCAAGAUUUGGGGGGAAUUACCUACAAAGAUGUAAGGUGUGUUAAUUUGGGCGCUUCUUGGAUUCUACCCUGAGGAGGAGGCGCGUGGUGAGAGGAGAGAUCUUGAUCUGCCGCUCGCUGAGGUUCAGCAGGUUGGCCAUCUCUACACGGCGAGGCCGGCACAGGUAGCGGUUAAAAUGGAACUCCUUCUCCAGCUCCACCAGCUGUGCGCUCGUGUACGCCGUCCGCGCCCGCUUGGACGCCGCCG